rnacentral:rRNA from 1 species
AUUGAACGCUGGCGGCAGGCUUAACACAUGCAAGUCGGACGGUAACAGGGAGGAAGCUUGCUUUCUUUGCUGACGAGUGGCGGACGGGUGAGUAAUGCUUGGGAAUCUGUUUUAUGGAGGGGGAUAACUACGGGAAACUGUAGCUAAUACCGCGUAAUAUCGAGAGAUUAAAGUGUGGGACCGUAAGGCCACAUGCCAUAGAGUGAGCCCAAGUGGGAUUAGGUAGUUGGUGGGGUAAAGGCCUACCAAGCCGUCGAUCUCUAGCUGGUCUGAGAGGAUGACCAGCCACACUGGGACUGAGACACGGCCCAGACUCCUACGGGAGGCAGCAGUGGGGAAUAUUGCACAAUGGGCGCAAGCCUGAUGCAGCCAUGCCGCGUGAAUGAAGAAGGCCUUCGGGUUGUAAAGUUCUUUCGGUGGUGAGGAAGGUUGUAAUGUUAAUAGCAUUAUAAUUUGACGUUAGCCACAGAAGAAGCACCGGCUAACUCCGUGCCAGCAGCCGCGGUAAUACGGAGGGUGCGAGCGUUAAUCGGAAUAACUGGGCGUAAAGGGCACGCAGGCGGAUACUUAAGUGAGGUGUGAAAGCCCUGGGCUUAACCUAGGAAUUGCAUUUCAUACUGGGUAUCUAGAGUAUUUUAGGGAGGGGUAGAAUUCCACGUGUAGCGGUGAAAUGCGUAGAGAUGUGGAGGAAUACCGAAGGCGAAGGCAGCCCCUUGGGGGAAUACUGACGUCAUGUGCGAAAGCGUGGGGAGCAAACAGG